UGGUGCUUUUGGGGUGUUGAGUAAAAAUAUGACAGUCUUCCCAUUGUGUAUUACCUAUAUUAAGUUUGUAUUAUGUACAUGUACAGUAUAUGAUUAUGUGCAUCUUUCUUGUUCCCUUUCUCUUUACUUCUUAAUUUGGAUCCCUCAAUUUUCAUCUUUGAUUUCUCCCUCUCUUAUUUUUAUUAUUUCCUUCCAAUUGUAUUUCUCCUUCUUUAUGUAUCUUCAGGCUGUUACAAUCUGCAAGGCUCGGAUUAUUACAGUCAUUUUUGUGAAUACCAUGCAGUUUAUUAAGUUGUUCAUAAAUUGUACAUCUGUGAGUUGUCAUUGCACCAGCUCAUGCAAGUUCAGUGGUCAUUGGCAGUUUCUAAUUGUAGGUAUACUCAGAGAGUUAUGUUAUCACUGAUGUUGAGCACACCAUUCUAUAGAACUGAUCAUACACAUUAGAAAAAAUACAGUCUGGAAGAACCUUAAAAGGCUGUCAUUAUCUGCUAUACUACUCCCAAAUCAUUAUUAAGGUUACUUUGAAAAUACCAGUACCAGAAGACUCUUAAUUUAGUCAUCCAUAAAUUGUAAAUAAUAUUAACAGACUAUUAACUAUUCUUUUGCACCAGCUCAAGUUGGCAAUUGGCAGGUAUACUCAGAGAGUUAUGUUGUUCUUGCUAAUAUUGAGCAUCACACAUGGGAGAAAAUACAGUUGGGAAGAAAACCUUAUUAG